rnacentral:rRNA from 1 species
UAGUGGCGAACGGGUGAGUAACACGUGGGCAAUCUGCCCUGCACUCUGGGACAAGCCCUGGAAACGGGGUCUAAUACCGGAUACGACCACUUCAGGCAUCUGAUGGUGGUGGAAAGCUCCGGCGGUGCAGGAUGAGCCCGCGGCCUAUCAGCUAGUUGGUGAGGUAACGGCUCACCAAGGCGACGACGGGUAGCCGGCCUGAGAGGGCGACCGGCCACACUGGGACUGAGACACGGCCCAGACUCCUACGGGAGGCAGCAGUGGGGAAUAUUGCACAAUGGGCGAAAGCCUGAUGCAGCGACGCCGCGUGAGGGAUGACGGCCUUCGGGUUGUAAACCUCUUUCAGCAGGGAAGAAGCGAAAGUGACGGUACCUGCAGAAGAAGCGCCGGCUAACUACGUGCCAGCAGCCGCGGUAAUACGUAGGGCGCAAGCGUUGUCCGGAAUUAUUGGGCGUAAAGAGCUCGUAGGCGGCCUGUCACGUCGGAUGUGAAAGCCCGGGGCUUAACCCCGGGUCUGCAUUCGAUACGGGCAGGCUAGAGUUCGGUAGGGGAGAUCGGAAUUCCUGGUGUAGCGGUGAAAUGCGCAGAUAUCAGGAGGAACACCGGUGGCGAAGGCGGAUCUCUGGGCCGAUACUGACGCUGAGGAGCGAAAGCGUGGGGAGCGAACAGGAUUAGAUACCCUGGUAGUCCACGCCGUAAACGUUGGGAACUAGGGUGUGGGCGACAUUCCACGUCGUCCGUGCCGCAGCUAACGCAUUAAGUUCCCCGCCUGGGGGAGUACGGCCGCAAGGCUAAAACUCAAAGGAAUUUGACGGGGGGCCCGCACAAGCGGCGGGAGCAUGUGGGCUUAAUUCGACGCAACGCGAAGAACCUUACCAAGGCUUGACAUACACCGGAACACCC